AAGUCAUGUCAUGUACAACUGG
rnacentral:miRNA from 1 species